GUAGUGAGAUGCCGAAUCGGCGAUACCACUUAUUAGAGGUGGUGUCGGGGGCGACCUGGAGACAGGUACAGCAAAUGCUGCAGUCGGUGUGCAACACCGAUUUGUUACCCCUCAAUACCUAAACAAUCUGCGCUACCCUGGCGCACAGGCAGUCACUAC
ncrna:Escherichia coli KTE75 EFASI RNA